rnacentral:rRNA from 1 species
UACAGGAAGGUGCGAGCGUUAAUCGGAAUUACUGGGCGUAAAGCGCACGUAGUCGGCUUUGCAAGUCGGGUGUGAAAUCCCCGGGCUCAACCUGGGAACUGCAUCCGAGACUGCAUUGCUAGAGUAUGGGAGAGGGAAGCGGAAUUUCUGGUGUAGCAGUGAAAUGCGUAGAUAUCGUAAGGAAGACCAGUGGCGAAGGCGGGUCUCUGGACAGUUCCUGACGCUGAGGCACGAAGGUCAGGGGAGCAAACGGG